rnacentral:tRNA from 1 species
GCCGAGGUAGCUCAGCUGGUAGAGCAGACGAUUCGUAAUCGUCAGGUCGCCGGUUCAAUCCCGGCCCUCGGCUCCA